rnacentral:rRNA from 1 species
CCGUACGGAAGGAAGGGGGGGAUCUUCGGACCUCUCGCUAAUAGAUGAGCCUAGGCCGGAUUAGCUAGUUGGUAGGGUAAAGGCCUACCAAGGCGACGAUCUGUAGCUGGUCUGAGAGGAUGGCCAGCCACACUGGAACUGAGACACGGUCCAGACUCCUACGGGAGGCAGCAGGUGGGGAAUAUUGGACAAUGGGGGCAACCCUGAUCCAGCCCAUGCCGCGUGUGUGAAGAAGGCCUUCGGGUUGUAAAGCACUUUAAGCGAGGAGGAAGGUUUUAGUUUAAUACACUAAAGAAUUGACGUUACUCGCAGAAUAAGCACCGGCUAACUCUGUG